rnacentral:rRNA from 1 species
UACGUAGGGUGCAAGCGUUAAUCGGAAUUACUGGGCGUAAAGCGUGCGCAGGCGGUUUUGUAAGUCUGUCGUGAAAUCCCCGGGCUUAACCUGGGAAUGGCGAUGGAGACUGCAAGGCUAGAGUUUGGCAGAGGGGGGUAGAAUUCCACGUGUAGCAGUGAAAUGCGUAGAGAUGUGGAGGAACACCGAUGGCGAGGGCAGCCCCCUGGGUCAAAACUGACGCUCAUGCACGAAAGCGUGGGGAGCAAACAGG